rnacentral:rRNA from 1 species
ACCUAGCAAUAGGUAUGCUUAGGGAAGAGCUUGCGUCACAUUAGUUAGUUGGUGGGGUAAUGGCCUACCAAGACGAUGAUGUGUAGCCGGGCUGAGAGGUCGAACGGCCACAUUGGGACUGAGACACGGCCCAAACUCCUACGGGAGGCAGCAGUAAGGAAUUUUCGGCAAUGGAGGAAACUCUGACCGAGCAAUGCCGCGUGAACGAUGAAGUAUUUCGGUACGUAAAGUUCUUUUAUUAGGGAAGAAAAGAUGGUGGAAAAACCAUUAUGACGGUACCUAAUGAAUAAGCCCCGGCUAACUAUGUGCCAGCAGCCGCGGUAAUACAUAGGGGGCAAGCGUUAUCCGGAAUUAUUGGGCGUAAAGGGUGCGUAGGCGGUUAAAUAAGUUUAUGGUCUAAGUGCAACGCUCAACGUUGUGAUGCUAUAAAAACUGUUUAGCUAGAGUUGGAUAGAGGCAAGUGGAAUUCCGUGUGUAGUGGUAAAAUGCGUAAAUAUACGGAGGAACACCAGAAGCGAAGGCGGCUUGCUGGGUCUUAACUGACGCUGAGGCACGAAAGCGUGGGGAGCAAACAGGAUUAGAUACCCUGGUAGUCCACGCCCUAAACGAUGAGUACUAAACGUUGGAUAAAACCAGUGUUGAAGUUAACACAUUAAGUACUCCGCCUGAGUAGUACGUACGCAAGUAUGAAACUUAAAGGAAUUGACGGGACUCCGCACAAGCGGUGGAUCAUGUUGUUUAAUUCGAAGGUACCCGAAAAACCUCACCAGGUCUUGACAUGCUUUUGCAAAGCUGUAGAAAUACAGUGGAGGUUAUCAGAAGCACAGGUGGUGCAUGGUUGUCGUCAGCUCGUGUCGUGAGAUGUUGGGUUAAGUCCCGCAACGAGCGCAACCCUUGUUGUUAAUUGCCAUCAUUAAGUUGGGGACUUUAGCAAGACUGCCAAUGAUAAAUUGGAGGAAGGUGGGGACGACGUCAAAUCAUCAUGCCCCUUAUGACCUGGGCUACAAACGUGAUACAAUGGCUGUUACAAAGGGUAGCUAAAGCGUAAGCUUCUGGCGAAUCUCAAAAAAGCAGUCUCAGUUCGGAUUGAAGUCUGCAACUCGACUUCAUGAAGUUGGAAUCGCUAGUAAUCGCGAAUCAGC